rnacentral:lncRNA from 1 species
CCGAUUUUUCGGUCUGGUCAGUAUUAUGCCCACCCCUAAUGUCAUCACUCUUCUUACAUCAUUCAAUAAAUCUAAGAUAGAUGAAAUGUAGUGCGUUGCUUGUGAAUUCUGAGCCAUAUUUCCUUCUUCAUGAUUCAUAGAACCUUUCACACGAUUCGCAGUUGUUAGAAUCCCCUUAGGAUGGAAUGCUUUCCUCCUUCUAAAAUCUUCAGGGUAUCCUACUGUUUUAUAAUAAUAUUUUUUUGUGUGUUCUCUCAUAUGACAAUGUUCACAUUUCACAUUUUGUUUCCUUCCACAAAAUCCUUGACCUCUACCUGCUUACAUGGCUAAGGGAUCUGACUUGUGUCCUAGAACUUCACCUCCUUCAUAUUGGUGACUCUCAUCAUGUGUUAUGAGUGCGUAUACCUGAUUAUGUGUGGGUUCAGUUGUCGUCAUUAAAAUUUAUUUACGAGCUUGAUCGUAUGUGUCAUUUAGUUCAUCUAAGAAUUGCAUAAGUCUUUGUUGCUGUAAAUGAGUCAUCUGGUCUUUAGAUUUUGGACAACUACAAUAAGAAUAUGGCACUAAAAUAUCAUACUUAGUCCACAACUACUUCAAUUUGGUAAAAUAUACAGCUACAGAAUCUGCUCCUUGUGAUAGCCUUGAAAUCGAUCUCUAUAACUAAAAAAACGAACUCGAUUUGCUUUAUCAAAUCACUCUCUUAGAUCUUCCCAAACUGCAUGAGCAUCAAAUUCAUAGAUGAUACCACUAAGCAGAUCUUUCGAAAUAGAGUUCAUAACCAGUUGUGCACUAUCGCAUUGCAAGUCUCCCAUUCCUAAUGGAGAUUUUUCUCGAAUGACUCCUUUUGCACAAACUCCUGUUGCAAACCCUAACUUCCGCUUGGUCUUGAGAGAAAGACGCAUCGAUCUACUCCACAAUCUAUAGUUCUCUGAUCCUGUGAGCUGAAUCGGAAUUAGAACCAAUCCAGGCGUGUCUGAAGGUUGGAGGAAAGACUGGAUGAGUGUGCUCGAUUUUCGCUGGCGUCUCUGUCGCCAUUAACGUUCAUGCAGAGUAUCAAAAACUAGAAAUUGUUUCAAAUCAGUAAAUGAGAAGGUGAAUUGGAUCAAGGUGUCGGUUAGUUGGAGAAAUUUCACAAUCUCACGGGUCAGUCUCUAUGGCUCUGAUAUCAUGUUAAAAUCUGCCAAUAGAUAGCUCUGCAACAUGAGGAAGAAGAAGGAGGAAUUGAGAAAU